CCAUGAUCCACUUGAGAGAUUAAUUAUAUUUUCCAAAUCAACCAGUUUUCUCUUCGAUGAAAUGUGCAAGACGCAUCCGGACAAAAAUCUUAAAGUGCUACUGAAAGAAGAUACACUUGAAGGCGCCUUCGGCGGAUGUACAUAUCAGGAACCGAAUAGGGACUUAAUGGGGUUUUUACGGUUACUUUGAAGAGGCUCCGUUCGAUUCCUUCGGUCCGCCAGGGAUGCUCUAGGAGAAUAAUAGUGCAAAGUCACAGCAAAGCUUCUUAACUGAGGAUCAUACAUGCGAGCCCUUCCCCAAUGGACGUUCCAGCCUGACUCAAGUUAACCUACACAUUUUGUAUAAAAAAAAAAUUAAAUGCAUAAAUAAAUAUAUGGCACAUA